rnacentral:lncRNA from 1 species
UACACAUCAUUCCAUAUAAGACCAUAGAAAACUCCAAUGAAGCAUCUUCUGGAGAUGACCUCACGUAUAACUCAUAGGAUGAAGUGAUGAAGAUAUGCUUGCCUGCACACAAGAAGGAGUACAUUCAGCUAAAGAACUAUGGCCACCAAGCAAGCCUUUGGGAAAGAGAAAGGUGUCUGGAGGAAUGAUAAAAUACAUCUCAGUUACACGAAGCCUCUGAUGCUGCAGAGGAAGAGCCUCCUCAUCAGAGCCAAACAUUGAGGAAAGUUUCCGAAUGCACAGAGUCUUUGUUUCCUGCUUGGAAACCAGGGAGUCGCCUGUACAUCUGCCCAGUGCGGCCAGCUGUAAGAACGCAGAACUCUCAUCAGAACAGAGCAGACUGAAGCAAUCAGGAAUGGGGCACUCUGAAGGCAAAAAGGGGUUACAGUGUUCUCCCCAGACUCUCCUUCCCAAGCACAACACGUCACUCUUGUCAACAAUGGAAAAGAGAAAUCAUUGUAUAUAUGGAGACUAACUGAAGAAUAACAGAAAGACUCUGUUGCGAGGGCUCUUUGACAUUUUACAUUGUUUAAAGAUUCAUCGCAUCAUGAAGAGCAUUACCAGCAAUAUGAAGACUUAGUAAAGAAACCGACAUCCAACAGACAUGAAGAAUUCAGAUCCUGAAUUUGAUAUUUUCAGUGGAUGAUCUUGUAUCAAAAUGUUGUACAGAGCACUUUGUGUACAUGAGUAUGGAUUGGGCUCCUCCCUAAGAAGCAGUACAGAUGAAGCUGUCCAGCCAAGGAAACUACAACUCGCUGACAACAUUAGACACAUUGCCUGUUAGAGAGGACCAGGACAAAGACGCGUCAGAGGAAGUUCACCGUCUUUUGUUCUCUCAGUGCAAAAGUCACUAGCCAAGACCUCAUGCAUAUCAGAGAGUCAAGCAUCAGCUUCUCACAGGGGGCACAAUAGCUCGACAAUUUAUUUUCAUUCUCUCUUAAAAAUUCUUUCUCUUUACCAAUCUUUUAUUUUCUGAUGCGAAAGUAAAGGGUGCUGAAUAAUCCCUAAUAAGAACAACUAUAGCAUAAGGAUUCUGAGCAUAAAGAAUUGGAGAGCACAGGAAAGAGAUGGCCAACAAUGAGAGAUGUGUAUUUAAUUACGUGUAAAAAGAAAGAAAGAUGAGACACAAUUAAACCAACACAAGCUAAGCGUAACGCAUGAACAGACUUGUCUGAGUUAGGCAAAGAACACUCAAGUUCACAGACUGACCAGGAAAGAGUGCUGGCAUGAAUGCCACUCUGCUGCUGUAGCUAGAGAACUGCUAGUAAGAUCUCUACACUUUGAUAAGGGACAAAGAGAAACCAAGUAGUACAUAUACUUAAGUUAGAGUCACAGAGUCACUGAAUUGAAAUCACCUUAACACACACCCCUGUAUGUUUCUUAGACCCAUUGGUUCAAGUUUUGUUUUUUUUAAUUUCUGAAAAGAGUAUCACCUGUACCAUAUCAUCUUGGUAAAUAUCAUAUAACAUAUUGCGACACAAUGUGGUAUUUACUAAAAUGUUCGGUCCACAGUAAAAUUCCAACUUUAUUAGUAACCAUUUGUAGGAGGCAUGUAGGUCUCGACUUAUCAUAAGAAGUAACUAGUGAUUCAUCAGGAGACGAAAAUUACAAGGGACUGCAGUUUAGCCUGCAAGCAAAUAGAGAAAACGAUGAAUGUCUCAACAGAUGAAUAAACUCAGGUAGUCAAAUUCAGAGGUCCCCAUGCUCAAUUCUCGCCAAGUUAACAAUCAUGGAAAAGGCUGCUCCCUAAUUAGUCCACAGGCUUGGGAAAGGCAAUGAGUAUAGAGUUUUCUGUGCAUGCAUGAGGAUUCCAGGCAGAACCCAAGGACCCACAUCGUAGCUAGGUAUGGAAGUAUGUGUGGCCCUGAAACUGGGGGAAAAGAAAUAUGUGAAUCUCACAGUCCACCCUGCCUAAACAAGGUGAGCUCCAGAUUCAGUGGCACAUGCUCUUAAAAGUUGAGAUGGAAAACCUCAGGUUUACACACACACACACACACACACACACACACACACAGAGAGAGAGAGAGAGAGAGAGAGAGAGAGAGAGAGAGAGAGAGAGAGAGAGGCAAGCCUACUUAGUCUAUUUGAUACAAGUAUGCAAUAUGAUAAUAAAAAUAAACAAAAAUAAAAUGGGAAAAUUAUUU